UAUCUCCUGCAGCGUUCGAGGGUGGGCUGGGUGUUUCCUGAACCUAUAUUUACCCCGGGAACAAAUGUUCGAACUUGGUGUGCAUACCCGCUUUACGCGGGAAGCCUGAAAGGUCGUCUGCGUUCCCACUUGAACCAUUGGUUCAAGGACGAUAGCUCAUUACGGCGCAGGUGGGAGAUAC
rfam:Methylomicrobium alcaliphilum str. 20Z chromosome, complete genome.